UCGCCGCAGUCAGGCACGUUGUGAAAGGUGAGAUAGAUUUUUAAGAAUUGGCCAACCGUUGAAAUUAUUUCAUUUAAGAAUGAAAGAUGUUGACGUCGAUCCAGAAAUGUAUCAUUAUGCACUGGAUUAUUACUAUACUAAGGAAAUGAACGCAAUAAAGGAAUAUUCCAUUGUGUAAUAGAUUGGACUGGCUUUCAAUUGGUUAUUACUAGACCCUCAAUGAGAAUGUUGCCACGAUAAGAUCAUGCUUUAGCAUUGUUCCAUCCUCCAUGAUUACUGGAUUUUUAUUGGUUAGUCGAUGGUUUCUCGUCUGAAAGAUUCAUUAUGCACAUAAAGAUUAAGAAAAGCAAGAGAACUAUUCAAGAGAUCAUCUGAAGGGAUAUCGAAGAAUAUAGCUGCAGUAAAUAUGUAUAGAUGAAAGAGAGUAGAUUUAUCUAUCGAAUCUGCUAGUCUAAUAACAAUCGUAAAGGAGGAGAAAAGCAGUUUAUUACAAAUAAUACUUGAGAAGAAUUGACACUGAAAAAUUUGUGGAAACCAAUGGUAAGAAAGCUCAUGUUGGUUCAUUGUCAUGGAGUUUUGUUUCAUCAAUCAUGCGGAACAUAUUUUCUGCUAAUUGAAUAUGGAAAUUGGUUUGUUUCAUGGUGGUAGAAUGAUCGUUUAUGAAAGAAGAAUAAGAUGCGUACCACGUUUUUGUAUUAAUCUUGCUAUAGCAAUCUAUCUUCACACGUACGUUUAUCUAUUAUCUGAAAAAGUCGUUAAAUUUCAUAAUAAUCUUGAUGGAUACUUUUCAUUUGGAUAUAUAUGUAGGUUACAUAUGGUGACUGAUAUCUUUCCAUUUUUAUCAUUUUGUUUUUCUUCUUAUCUUUGUGUGCUUAUAUAUGAACUUUUUCUGUUAUUAAAAGUAUUUUAUGUUAAUGAUUUGUAUCAACGUAAAUACAAUAUAUAAUAUGCCAUAUAUAAAGCAUCGAUAGGAUUAUUAAAGUGAGAUAAAUUAAUCGUCCUGAAUAUUUACGAUUUCUAAUAAAAUUUUCUUCUGCGAUUUAGAGAAAAAGGGAAAGGACGUGUAAGUUAGCAAUAUUAUUAGAACAAUAAACAGAAAAAUAUUCAUUAUUGCAUAAUCCUGUUGAGUUACCAUAUGUAAUACGUCGAAUCGAUAUAAAUAAUUGAUAUAAAAAAAAUAAUUCGACAUGAUUUGCUUCAAUUAUUGAUCAUUACGUAAAUACGUACGAUAAUUCAUAUAUAAUAAUCACAUAUACAUGUUACUUCUUCUUUCUCUUAUUUCAUCUCUCUCUCUCUCUCUCGCUCUCUGACCCCUUCUUUCAGACCCAUCUCAUAUUAUUCACCAUUCUCUUUUUGUCUUCGCUACCUUUUCUUGCUCGUCGCAUAAUUGAUUCCUUUUUCCGAUUGCUUUAUUCGAUAGCUUCUUUUAUUAUUCAGAACGCAUUGUUAUAAAAUAUAACAUUGAUAAGUGGAAAAAUUUGAAUAAAGAAUUUAAAAAAUAAAUCAUAUACUUUUAUUGAUUCUUUUACCACUAUUAAUUAUAUGGAACUGUCAUUAGAACAUUCAUACUGAC